ACAACAUUCGGAGCGUCGGUCUACCAAGCGAUAUCACUCGUUCGGUGGAAGAUUUUUCCUUUGUCGC
rnacentral:pre_miRNA from 1 species